GGCUGGUUAUCUCAGUUGGUUAGAGCGUGGUGCUGAUAACACCAAGGUCACGGGUUCGAUCCCCACUGGUUC
rnacentral:tRNA from 1 species